rnacentral:rRNA from 1 species
UACGAGAGGCCCAAACGUUAUUCGGAAUUACUGGGCUUAAAGAGUUCGUAGGCGGCAUUGCAAGUAUGGUGUGAAAGCCCUCGGCUCAACCGAGGAAUUGCGCUCUAAACUGCAGUGCUCGAGGAAGCUAGAGGUGAGCAGAACAGAUGGUGGAGCGGUGAAAUGCGUUGAUAUCAUCUGGAAUACCGGAGGCGAAGGCGGCUCACUGGGGCUUUUCUGACGCUGAGGAACGAAAGCCAGGGUAGCGAACGGG